rnacentral:rRNA from 1 species
AAAGUCUGAUGGAGCAACGCCGCGUGAGUGAUGAAGGUUUUCGGAUCGUAAAACUCUGUUGUAAGGGAAGAACCAGUACGUCAGGCAAUGGACGUACCUUGACGGUACCUUAUUAGAAAGCCACGGCUAACUACGUGCCAGCAGCCGCGGUAAUACGUAGGGGGCAAGCGUUAUCCGGAAUUAUUGGGCGUAAAGAGUGCGUAGGUGGUUUUGUAAGCGCGGGGUGAAAGGCUAUGGCUCAACCAUAGUAAGCCUUGCGAACUGUAAGACUUGAGUGCAGGAGAGGAAAGCGGAAUUCCUAGUGUAGCGGUGAAAUGCGUAGAUAUUAGGAGGAACACCAGUGGCGAAGGCGGCUUUCUGGACUGUAACUGACACUGAGGCACGAAAGCGUGGGGAGCAAACA